rnacentral:rRNA from 1 species
GAUGAACGCUGGCGGCGUGCCUAAUACAUGCAAGUCGAGCGAACAGACGAGGAGCUUGCUCCUCUGACGUUAGCGGCGGACGGGUGAGUAACACGUGGAUAACCUACCUAUCAGACUGGGAUAACUUCGGGAAACCGGAGCUAAUACCGGAUAAUAUAUUGAACCGCAUGGUUCGAUAGUGAAAGACGGUUUUGGUGUCACUUCUCGAUGGUUCCGCGCCGCAUGAGCUGGUUGGUACGGUAAAGGCCUACCAAGGCUACGAGGCGUAGCCGACGUGUCGGGGUGAUCGGCCGCACGGGAGGGGAACCGCGGUCCAGGGGCCUACGGGAGGCACCAGUAGGGAAUCUGCGGCAAUGGGCGGAAGCUUGGCGGAGUGGCGCCGCGUGAGUGAUGGCGGUCUUGGGUGCGUAAAGCUCUGUUAUUAGGUGUAAACAAAUGUGGAAGGUGCUGUGGAGGGAGUGACGGUACCUGGUAAAGAAGCAACGGCUAACUACGUG